GAACUGCGAUAAGUAAUGUGAAUUGCAGAAUUCAGUGAAUCAUCGAGUCUUUGAACGCACAUUGCGCCCCCUGGCAUUCCGGGGGGCAUGCCUGUCCGAGCGUCAUUGCUGCCCUUCAAGCCCGGCUUGUGUGUUGGGUCGUCGUCCCCUCCGGGGGACGGGCCCGAAAGGCAGCGGCGGCACCGCGUCCGGUCCUCGAGCGUAUGGGGCUUUGUCACCCGCUCGAUAAGGACCGGCCGGGCGCCAGCCGGCGUCUCCAACCUUUUUUUCUCAGGUCGACCUCGGAUCAGGUAGGGAUACCCGCUGAACUUAAGC
rnacentral:misc_RNA from 1 species